CAAACAAUUGUAAAACAAAGCCCGAACAGAUAAAGGGUAAUAACCCAUGCCCAAAAAAAAAAGCCCAAAAAGUAAACUGAAUGAAACGUUAAUACGUUAUCCGAGUCUCUGCAACUCCACUCAGCUAAGCUUCCAUGUCUGUUCUUUCUUCUUCAUUUGCCAAAUACAGGACAAGUACAAACCAUCCAAGCUUGACUAUACCACCCGUUCGGAUCUUAUGCGGCCCGGUUCCGACCCGGAGGAAGAAUAACACCGACCAAUCGGAAGAGAGACGAGAGCUGGUUCGUUUACUGACCGGGAAAAUAACCGCCGAGAGAGAGCCUCUCCUGAAGACACUGAACAAGCACGUGAAGCACCUGAGAACCGAGCAUUGCUUCUUGCUCUUCGAAGAGCUUGGUAAACAAGAUAGCUGGCUACAAUGCAUUGAGGUUUUCAGGUGGAUGCAGAAACAACGGUGGUAUAUUGCUGACAAUGGAGUUUACUCGAAGCUCAUAUCAGUGAUGGGAAAGAAAGGCCAAACCAGGAUGGCUAUGUGGCUCUUCUCGGAGAUGCGUAAUUCCGGUUGCCGCCCGGAUACUUCUGUGUAUAAUGCUCUUAUCACGGCUCACCUUCAUUCCCGGGACAAGGAAAAGGCAUUAGCCAAAGCUCUUGGCUACUUUGACAAGAUGAAGGGAAUGGAGCGUUGUAAGCCCAACAUUGUUACUUAUAACAUUCUCUUGAGGGCUUUUGCGCAGGCGCGCAAUUCAGAUCAAGUGAAUUCUUUGUUCAGGGAUCUUGAUGAGACUGUCAUUUCUCCUGAUAUAUACACGUUUAAUGGUGUCAUGGAUGCUUUUGGAAAGAAUGGAAUGAUCCGCGAAAUGGAAUCUGUGCUUGCUCGAAUGAAAAGCCAUAAGUGUAAGCCUGACUUGAUUACUUUUAAUUUGCUCAUCGAUGCAUACGGGAAGAAGCAGGAAUUCGAUAAGAUGGAACAAGUAUUCAAGAGUUUGUUGAGGUCCAAGCAGAAACCAACACUGCCUACGUUUAAUUCCAUGAUCCUGAACUAUGGCAAGGCACGACUAAAGGAGAAAGCAGAAAAUGUUUUCAGAAAAAUGACUGACAUGGGUUAUAAACCAAGCUUUGUCACUCACGAGAGUCUCAUCUACAUGUAUGGAUACUGUGAUUGCAUUUCCAAAGCUAGAGAUUUAUUUGAAGGGCUAAUUGAGUCAAAGGCUCAGAUAAAACCAUCAACCUUAAAUGCUAUGCUUGAUGUUUACUGCAUAAAUGGUUUACCAUUGGAAGCAGAUUCUCUGUUGGAGAGGGCAAUUAGCUUACAAGUGUUUCCUGAUGCUUCAACAUAUAAGCUUCUUUAUAGGGCUUACACUAAAGCCAACUUGAAGGAGCUUUUGGAUACAUUGCUGAAGCAUAUGGAUAGAGAUGGUAUUAUCCCUAACAAGAAGUUCUUCCUAGAUGCUUUGGGAUCUUCACGAGACAAGUCAAAAUCUGCUACUACUGUUGUAACUCAUUCAAAUAGCUCCCAAAAUUUUGCAGAACCUCAGCUGAAAAAUUAGUUGGUAAUUCACAUCAAUAUUUGACUUGCUUACUAGUUACUAGCAGAUCAGUUCACAUAUGAGGUGUGUAGUGCAUUUGGCAAAGUGGAUGGUGCUGGAAAGCAACAAGUAAAUCAAAGAGUUACAGAUGCAGUUUUGAUUAUGACAUUAUUGACAAUUUUGAAACAAAGACUACAAGUAUGAUUUGUAACAUUCUUCACAG